AUACAGAGGGUGCGAGCGUUAAUCGGAAUUACUGGGCGUAAAGCGCGCGUAGGCGGCUUGGCCAGUCGGAUGUGAAAGCCCCGGGCUCAACCUGGGAAUGGCAUUCGAUACUGCCAGGCUAGAGUAUGGGAGAGGGAAGUGGAAUUUCCGGUGUAGCGGUGAAAUGCGUAGAUAUCGGAAGGAACACCAGUGGCGAAGGCGACUUCCUGGCCCAAUACUGACGCUGAGGUGCGAAAGCGUGGGGAGCGAACAGGAUUAGAAACCCUAGUAGUCC
rnacentral:rRNA from 1 species